AACGUAGGAGACAAACGUUAUUCGGAGUUACUGGGCGUAAAGGGCGUGUAGGCGGUUUGUUAAGUCUGGCGUGAAAGCUCUCGGCUAAACCGGGAGAGGUCGUUGGAUACUGGCAAACUAGAGGACGGUAGAGGCGUGUGGAAUUCCGGGUGUAGUGGUGAAAUGCGUAGAGAUCCGGAGGAACACCAGUGGCGAAGGCGACACGCUGGGCCGUACCUGACGCUAAAGCGCGACAGCAUGGGGAGCAAACGGG
rnacentral:rRNA from 1 species